GGGGUGGGAAAGGGAGGGAAGGAGUUAUAAAGGUGUUGUUUCCUUUUCUUAGGAAUACAGGUCUUAUUAUGAGGAUCUUAAGUAGGGAGGCUGUGACCGGCCUCACUCUCCAGUAGGUGGCGGUAGAUAGACCUUCAGUUGGAUGUGAUCUGACCACCCAAAUAGAAGGAAAAAGAACAAUUUGUACUAGUAAAUCUCGGAGCAGUUGGUUUAAGUUUUCAAAAACAUCGGGAACUUUUCGUGAAUUACGAACAUAGAUCUAUUUCGCUAAAAUGCAGAGGGAGGACAAACCCAGCCUGCUGCUCUCCUUCCACACUGAGCCAAAACAUGAGUCACUGGAUUGUGAUUGUGAAAGUGAAGCUCAGGAGGCAUUGGUGGUUUCAAAGAUGACAUCAGUAAAGCAGGAAAACAAAAGUCAGACGCUGGGACUGAAUGUUACUAUUAAAGAUGAAGAGGAGAAGAAUGUGGUUAUCAUUAAUAAUGGAGAGGGGCAUUUACUUAAUCAAGAUGACACGUGGCUGGGAAGACCCAUGAGUAUUGUACAUUGGCCAGCAAAUCGCAGAGAGGGGGAGGCAUGGUCAACAGGGAUUUCCAGGUCUCAUUAUGCUCUAAUGACUCCCUCUGGUGUCUCUGCCAUCACAAAAGCUGAGUGAGGUAGUCAGAUAAGUGAACGUGCCCUCACACGCUUCAUCACCAAACAGCACUUAAAUAAAUGACAAUAACAAGUUUUAAGGUAUUAAACACAAAACAAAACACAACAGACCGAUUCAUUAUAUGAAAUGAAUACAAUGCAAAUAAUCUGCAACUAUCUCACUUGAGCACUAAUCUGGGAACAGUAAUAAAUAAUAAUAUUUACCAAACAAAACAGCAUUGGAGCCAAAAUGGACAAUGACAGGAGUUAGCACAAGUUUCCCAGUACUCUAGUGGAACUAAACAAAUCUGACUUUGUUUUUCCCGCUCGGCUUUAAAGGUUUCAAAUCCAAAGGAGUGGUAAUGAAAAGUUUACCUCUUGGGCCACUGUUUGGUAUCAGAAAUGAAAGUGGAUCAACCCCGGAAGACUGAGAAUGUGUUGCUUUCAGCUAUCUGUUCGUGUGAGAGCUACAAACACACUAUAUCCCAUGAAUACAGUUUAUUCAAAACUACAGAAUCAAGUUUGAUGCAGAUUUCCUUCAACUCCGGCUGGGCAGUUAGGGAACGAUAACUGAAGAAUUAUCCAUCUAGAGAAAAUAAGUUAUCUAAAACAUCUGUCAUCUGAUUAAAUUCACUUGUAUUGUUUUUAAUUGUCACAUAUUUUAUCUACUUAAAUUCUUUAACACAUUUCACUUAAUGUAAGUCUAGAUUUAAUAUUGAGUGUUUGCAAAAGAUUUCCGCUAUAUUCUUUCCCACUAUGUGUACAACAAGGAAGAUGUGAUGUUAAAACUAUUAAUAAAGGGUUAGAGUUCUGGUAGAAGCAAUGGUAUUAAAGUAGUAAGGGGAGACACUUUAUUAGAAAUGACAGAAAUAGUAUUUUAUAAUGAGAACAGGUUAGAGGAGGAAGUUUGUUAGGAUUAGUUGAUUGCCUGGAACUGAUAGGAAAGUAAAGGGUAUUUGUAAGAGGUGUAUGAUGAAACAAAAGGUUCAACAUCAAUUGCAAAUAAAGCCAAGUGCUUAAUCAUCACCUUUACCUGCAUCUCAACAGGAUGUACAUUGCAUUCACUCUAUUGUAGACAACACAAUUCAUCUGUAUCUCAAAAACAGGAUUUACAAUGUAGAACUUCCACACUCAAAGCAAACAGCUUAUUAAUGAAAUUGCUCUCUAAAAUAUGUUUUUUAAAUCACAGGUAAUAUUGCAGGCAACAUUUUGAGUUAAAGUUGUGCUCAUAAGUUAGAAUACCCUGGCUGAAGGGUAUAGUCAAUGAGUUUGUUAGCUCUCACAUGGAUGAACUGAGCCUUGGGGAGCAGAAAAUAACUGUCAAAAGUCUUCUGUAACAAGGUAAUGGAACAUUAUAAAAAUGGAAAACGAUAGAAAAUGAUAUCCAUUUCAAUCACUUAUUACAAAAUGGAUAAUUUGGGGAUUUCUUGAUACCAAGCCAAGGUCAGGUAGACCAAGAAAGAUCUCAGCCAAAAUUGCCAGAAGAAUUGUUCGGGAUACAACGAAAAACCCACAGGUAACCAUCCAUCAUCUUCCGCUUAUCCGGGGCCGGGUCGCGGGGGCAGCAGUCUAAGCAGAGAUGCCCAGACUUCCCUCUCCCUAGUACUGAAAAUACUGGCAGACAAUUUGCAUUCUUCUGCACGAAAGCUGCAUGUGGGACGCUAUUGCACUUUCCAACAUGACAGUGACCCUAAGCACAAGGCCAAGUUGACCCUCCAGUGGUUACAGCAGAAAAAGGUGAAGGUUCUGGAGUGGCCAUCACAGUCUCCUGACCUUAAUAUCAUUGAGCUCCUCUGGGGAGAUCUCAAUCGUGCGGUUCAUGCAAGACGACCAAAAACCUCACAAGACCAGGGUGCAUUUUGCCAAGACGAACAGGUAGCUAUAACACCUGCAAGAAUUUCGGGCUUCAUAGACAACUAUUAUAAAAGACUGCACACAGUCAUUGAUGCUAAAGGGGGCAAAACACAGUAUUUAGAACUACGGGUAUGCAGACUAUUGGAGCGGGGUGGGUUAAUUUUUUUUCUUUGUUGCCAUGUUUUGUUUUAUGAUUCUGCCAUUCUGUUAUAACCUACAGUUUAAUAUAAAUCUCAAAAGAAAUAAAAUGUAAAAAAAAUCCUGCUCACUCAUGUUUUCUGUACAAAUGGUACAUAUAUUACAGAUUCUCCAAGGGUAAGCAAACAUUUGAGCACAACUGUAAAAUAUAGUUGCAUGGCACCAAUGGAUGGGGUCCUCCUACAUGGUGAGUAGAGGAAAAUGUUCUGGUGGGGAACACUAACAGAAUGACACUGUCAGAUGUAAAUUGAGGGCAAUAUGUUUUUGUGAAGCGUUGUAUUAUUGACAACGUAGUCAUUGUUCAACAUAUUCUUCCCGGAUCACACUAUGGGGGUAUUUCAGAAAGCGGGGUUAGUGAAAACUCAGUUGACUCAGAGUUGAGGGAAACUCUGGGUUUACGGUUUCAAAGAGCCAGUUACUACGGCAAGAUACUCUGUGAUACUCUGAAUUGUACUUAUUUUUUGCUUAAAUGUCAUUUUUUUUCCGGAGCAAGAAUGCUACUGUAUUGCUUUUUUUCUUGAAUAUAUGUGCAUUCAUUAAUAUAUCUAACUCCACUGGGGAGAAGUAUGGGGUUUGAGACCUUUUUCUCCUGUUGCCAUGGUGAAUCAUGUUAUCUGCGUUCCAUUGAUGAGGGCUUUUUUAUCUCCUAUUGCACCUUUACUCAGGGUUAACUUAACUCAGAGUUGACUGAACUAAGUGUUAUCACCUGUUCUGAAACCGUCAACUCUGAGUUUGACAGCUCAUUGUUAAUCCUGCUUUCUGAAAUACCCCCUAUAUGGGGAGAUGUAUGAUGCAAAGGACAAUGAGCAUAGAGGGAAGCAGAUAUUUACUAAACAAUGAAAUAAUAAAAACAACAGGAAGUAGGACACUGUAGUAACUAUACAAAAAAACAGUAAAAAUAUGUGUAUGAAACAAAAUCAAAACAGGAAGUACCACACAGUAGAAACUGUAUGAAAAACAAAUCUAUGGAUGAAACAAAAUAAAAACAGGAAUACAAAUAUACAACACACCAUUUAGAAGUUAUUCAAAAAAACUAACAGGUAAUGGUGUAAGGAGCAAAAUGGAAUAGAGAAGUCAGUGCAAGAACUAAAAGCAAACAGGAAGAAUAAAUUGGGCAUCUGCUGAGUAAGCCCCAAAAGUUGUGGUUGAUGGAAGUAAUUAAGCAAAAGAUGUUGGCAAACAAACAAUAUAAAAAGGCAAUAUGAAACUAGUAGAAAAUGUGUUGUGCUUGCUAGCUACCUUACACCAAUUUUCCUUGAUUGCGAAUUCAGAAUAGUAUUGGGAACUGCCCCUUGUACCUGCACAACAAUUUCCCACUUAUACCACUUGUACAUACAUCAUACAUGUAUAUUUCCUGUACAUUUAAAAAAUUUCCACUGCACAUUUA
rnacentral:lncRNA from 1 species